rnacentral:rRNA from 1 species
UGGGGAAUAUUGCACAAUGGGGGAAACCCUGAUGCAGCGACGCCGCGUGAACGAAGAAGGUAUUCGUAUCGUAAAGUUCUGUCCUAUGGGAAGAUAAUGACAGUACCAUAGAAGAAAGCUCCGGCUAAAUACGUGCCAGCAGCCGCGGUAAUACGUAUGGAGCGAGCGUUGUCCGGAAUUAUUGGGCGUAAAGGGUACGCAGGCGGUUUAAUAAGUCGAAUGUUAAAGAUCGGGGCUCAACCCCGUAAAGCAUUGGAAACUGAUAAACUUGAGUAGUGGAGAGGAAAGUGGAAUUCCUAGUGGAGUGGUGAAAUACGUAGAUAUUAGGAGGAAUAACAGUAGCGAAGGCGACUUUCUGGACACAAACUGACGCUGAGGUACGAAAGCGUGGGGAGCAAACAGG